UCCCUGAUAGUCCAGUGGUUAAGACUCUGUACUGCCACUACAAGGGACAUGGGUUCAAUCCCUAGUCAGGGAA
rnacentral:tRNA from 1 species